GCAUAUCAAUAAGCGGAGGAAAAGAAACCAACAGGGAUUGCCUCAGUAACGGCGAGUGAAGCGGCAACAGCUCAAAUUUGAAAUCUGGCCUCUCGGGGUCCGAGUUGUAAUUUGUAGAGGAUGUUUUGGGUACCGCCCCGGUUUAAAUUUCUUGGAACAGAAUGUCAGAGAGGGUGAGAAUCCCGUCUUGGACCGGCGGUAGGGCCUGUGUAAAACUCCUUCGACGAGUCGAGUUGUUUGGGAAUGCAGCUCAAAAUGGGUGGUAAAUUUCAUCUAAAGCUAAAUAUUGGCCAGAGACCGAUAGCGCACAAGUAGAGUGAUCGAAAGAUGAAAAGAACUUUGAAAAGAGAGUUAAACAGUAUGUGAAAUUGUUGAAAGGGAAGCGCUUGCAACCAGACUUGAGCGCGACGGUUCCCCUAGCCUUUUGGCUAGGUUACUCCGUCGUGUCCAGGCCAACAUCGGUUCUGAGGGUCGGUCAAAGGCCCCGGGAAUGUACCUACCCACGGGUAGACUUAUAGACCGGGGUGUCAUGCGGCCUCUCGGGACCGAGGAACGCGCUUCGGCUCGGAUGUUGGCGUAAUGGUUGUCAGCGACCCGUCUUGAAACACGGACC
rnacentral:rRNA from 1 species